CAGUAGCCGCGGGAAAACCAGCACCUCGAGUGGUCAGGAGGUUUAUUGGGCCUAAAGCAUCCGUAGCCGGUUGCAUAAGUUUUCGGUUAAAUCUAUGCGCUUAACGUAUAGGCCGCCGAAAAUACUGUGCAGCUAGGGAGUGGGAGAGGUACACGGUACUCGAUAGGAAGGGGUAAAAUCCUUUGAUCUAUUGAUGACCACCUGUGGCGAAGGCGGUGUACCAGAACACGUUCGACGGUGAGGGAUGAAAGCUGGGGGAGCAAACCGGAUUAGAUACCCCUGUAGUCCCUGUCUCUUAUAC
rnacentral:rRNA from 1 species